rnacentral:rRNA from 1 species
GAUGAACGCUAGCGGGAGGCCUAACACAUGCAAGCCGAGCGGUACUUGUCUUUCGGGACAGAGAGAGCGGCGUACGGGUGCGGAACACGUGUGCAACCUGCCUUUAUCUGGGGGAUAGCCUUUCGAAAGGAAGAUUAAUACCCCAUAAUAUAAUGAAUGGCAUCAUUUAUUAUUGAAAACUCCGGUGGAUAGAGAUGGGCACGCGCAAGAUUAGAUAGUUGGUGAGGUAACGGCUCACCAAGUCGAUGAUCUUUAGGGGGCCUGAGAGGGUGAUCCCCCACACUGGUACUGAGACACGGACCAGACUCCUACGGGAGGCAGCAGUGAGGAAUAUUGGACAAUGGGUUAGCGCCUGAUCCAGCCAUCCCGCGUGAAGGACGACGGCCCUAUGGGUUGUAAACUUCUUUUGUACAGGGAUAAACCUACUCUCGUGAGAGUAGCUGAAGGUACUGUACGAAUAAGCACCGGCUAACUCCGUGCCAGCCGCCGCGGUAA